rnacentral:rRNA from 1 species
UACGGGGGGGGCAAGCGUUGUUCGGAAUUACUGGGCGUAAAGGGCUCGUAGGCGGCCAACUAAGUCAUACGUGAAAUCCCUCGGCUUAACCGGGGAACUGCGUCUGAUACUGGAUGGCUUGAGUUCGGGAGAGGGAUGCGGAAUUCCAGGUGUAGCGGUGAAAUUCGUAGAUAUUCGGAAGAACACCAGUGGCGAAGGCGACUGACUGGACAAGUAUUGACGCUGAGGUGCGAAAGCGUGGGGAGCAAACAGG